rfam:Deltaproteobacteria bacterium RIFOXYC2_FTLL_48_10 rifoxyc2_full_scaffold_4376, whole genome shotgun sequence.
UUACCCCUGCAAUGUGCGUGAUUGUAUGACAGCCUUUGUCCUAACGCAUAAGCAAAAGGGAGUCCACACUUGUACCGGUGUGCUAUGUUCCUCUUGUAAGGAAAAGCCUGAAGGUAUAACUGGACGACCACCUUCUGAACCCAUGGUUCAAAGCCUUUAUAGCAACACGGCAGUUUGUGGGGGUAAC